UCUUCCUCACAUUAGAACAUAACUAACAGCUCCAAACGUGUUUAGGAACGAAAGUGAAAGUGUCUUAAGCAAGGAAAACAGCUACUGCGCAGAAAGCACCGAAAUGAAUUAACAGAACCACCAAAUUAAGGGACAUCCAAGAAUUUCCUUUAUUACUAACAUCGCUUCAGGAAUGUGAAGUUUCAUGGUGUGUUUUUUGUGGGAUUUCACUGGAAUGCGUUUUUAUGAUGACUUGCCAUGCUUAUCAUCUUUCAGUUUUUCUUCUACUCUCCGUCGGCGCUUCUUUGCAUCGGAAUUACGUCUUUGUCAGCGCAAAAGACACGUGCUCGGACCCCCCGCCAAAGGAACACACCAUCCCGAAUGGCUCAGCAAUGGUCCACAAGGAGAACAGCCAGUACCGCUACAAGUGCAUUGAUGGCUACCUGAGGAAGGCUGGCACAUCCAGCCUGAUCUGGUGCAAGAAGAAUAACAACUUACUGCAGUGGUACAACGUCGACGGGUCCAAAGCGCUCAUCUGCAUACGUUCUCCAAAGAUGGAACACGCAAGAACCACAAGAGCAACAGCAGACCCCACAACAGUACCAGUCACAAUAACCACACCACCAACCACAGCCUCCAAAACAACACUAACAACCACAACAGCACCAACAACCACGACACCCACAACAACCACCACAGCACGGACAACCACGACACCCACAACAACCACCACAGCACGGACAACCACAACACCAACAACAACCACCACAGCACGGACAACCACAACAGCCCCGAAAACAGCGCCAACAACGACAACAGCACCCAGCAUGAUCCCUAUAAUGAACUGGAAGUCCACCAUAUCACAAUCCAGCAUCAGUCCCCUCCCAUCAAAGACAACAAAAACUUAUGACCGCCCACAGACGCCCUUCACCGAUGUGACUACAAAUGUGAAGCUUCACAACCCAGAACCCUCCCUUGGACCAAGAAGGCCAUCCGAUACCCCGGGAAGCAGAAGCGGACCCAACAAUCCACAGAAGACUUCACCAAGUACUGCUGUGCAAUCUACCUUCAUCGGCAGUGGAGCGAUUGCAGUGAUUGUGCUCGUAGCCGUGGUGCUCCUGCUGUGGAGAUGGAGACGGUCAUAAAUAUGCUGGGACUCAAUGUAUUGCAUUACAGCCACUGAAAGAUGAGAUUAUAUUUACAGCAGCACGAGAGUAAUUGAGCAGGUUAUCAUGCCGGAGAUGCUGGUACUCAUGAAUUUGACCCAGGUGAACCAGUCGGAAGAUGAAAAUCAGCCAAACAGAGAAACAGCUUCUUUCAAUGAAGUCAACAAUUA